GUCAUCAGGAACACCUGAGGCUGUGUCACGGGCACGUGCCCUCAACCUUGGCAAAAUAAACUUUCUAAAUUAACUGAGACCUGUCUCAGAUAUUUGGGGUUCACAUUUUGGUAACCAUGGGGGGAUUCUGAGUGGGGGUGCCCCGACCUUUGACAAAUCUCCUAUCAGUGUUUGGGACCAGCAUGAGCUAACUUUAUGGCUCAAACCAAUAGGACAAUUUGCUGAGGUCUGAGGUCCCCCUCCAGAGAAUCCCAGAUCUCCCAAAAUUUGGUUGAGAUCUAGUUUAUUUUGCUUUACAACUCCCCUUUUCUUGGAGUUUUACUUGCUUCCAACAAGGAAGGCAAAAUUUCCUGCUUCCAUAAUGAUAGAAGGCAGGUAACUCCUUUAUGGAGUUUGAGCUCGCUCCCAGCAGGGAAGACGAGUUUGAGGUUUUGUUCCUGCUUCUAGGAUGGUAGAAAGCAGUCUUCAGCCUGAGACCUGUCCCUAGUCACUGAAAACUAAGCUGUGCUUUUGUAAAGCCCUGCGAACUGAAGCCUGACAACUCAAACUUCAGAAGAAAAUAACAGCAACAACAGCUAUCAAAAAGGAAAGAAAGAAAGAAAGGAAGAAAGAAAGAAAAGAAAGAAAGAGAGACAGAAAGGAAGGAAGGAAGGGAGGGAGGGAGGAAGGAAAAGAAAAAGAGAAAGAAAGAAAAGGAAAGAAAGAGAAAGAAAGAAAGAAGAAAAGGAAGGAAGGAAGGAAAUAGAGAGGGAGAGAAGGAAGGAAGGAAAAGGCCUCAGAAACAAGCCUCAGAACCAAGGUCUCUCUCUGCCCCUGCUCUGAUCCCUUCUUUCCUGAAGCACAGACAGGGGCUUUCUCUGAAGUCCCUUUAUGCCAUUAAGGGAAGUUCUUCCAGAAGAAAUGCAAUUGUCUUAAAACUUUCUCCUUUAGAAUUCUCAUCAAAUAAUCAGAAAAGAUUAAUGACCAGAGCAGGUAAAAAGACUAAAAGUCAUCACCACACCCAGAUAGAGUUUUCAUCUACUUUUCUGAGGGCAGCUCCCAGAGAUUGCCUGGGAGACUUCAUCUGCAUAAUAAGGCCACCUUUGUUCACAGUGAAAUUCUAUCUCUCACUUCCCACAAAUUGCCACCACCUCCCCCAGAGCUCAGAGGAACUUCGUCCUAGCCAAGUUGUUUGCUCUUUGGGCCCAUGCAUUUCCCCUGAAAAGCAUUUACUACCCAUCAGGAUUACCUACAUCCCCCAUGUUUCUUCUCCACUAUAAAGAGGGUAUUUAAGUCUCAAAUCUCUGGCCCUUCUUUGGGUCUCAUAUUUGCCGAACUCCUGUGUCCAUGUGCCCGUAAAUAAAUUUGUAUGUUUCUUAUCCUGAUAGUGUCUAUUGUCAGCUCAUUUCAGUGAGCCUUCAGAGAGGGUGAAAGGGAAGCUUUCCCUCUGCUUCUACACAGGACAUGGCUAGGAUCUGGAAUUUUAUUUCUGAGCAGUUGGAAAUCAUUGGGAGGUUUUAAGUAGGGGAGAAUAAUGAUCUGAUCUAUGUUAUAGAUGCUGUAUAGAGAAUGGACCGAAAGGGACCAAGGUAGAUAUGGAGAGAAGACCAGUUAGACGGUGAUUGCAUUAGUUCCAGGUGGAAAACACUAGUGGCUUGGAUCAAGGUUGAGACAGAAAAGAUGGAAAUGGAAGUCAAAUUCCAGAUCUGUUUUGGAAGGAGAAUUGACAGGCUCCCCAGUGAAUUGAGUAUGGGUGAAGAGUCCCAAGUCUGACCUUUCUUGUGAGCUCAAGACAAAGAUACAUCUCAAUGCCACCAAAAUAUCGCUUGUGCCUAGGUGCCAUAAGCCUAUUCAACAGAUCUAGAAUAAAAUCCAUCUUUCCUGUGCCACGCCAUAAUAUGAAUCAUAGUUGAGCUGAAGGCAAUUAAGCAGCAGAUGCAGGAAAGCUCCCUGCUCUCCCUCUAUUUGCUUAAAAUCAGGACAUAAAUUUACAGAGACAAAAGAUAUCCUGUCCUUUCUCUAUCAGAGAAAACAAGACAGUGUAAGCCCUUAUUGGCCUGUAGAUGCUACUAGAGGAAUCUAUAAGCUUUACUAACUAGCCUUUACCUGCCAUUUAUUUGCCUUCCCUCAAGUUUCCACCUCUAGAGAUUCAAAGCCUUUUUCCUUUGUCUUGUCACUUCUCCAAAAGUUGACCAUUCUUUGUUGAAGAUGAUAUAUAAGCUGGAAUUCAAAGCUACCUCUUUGAGAACUACUUAUUCUCCAAGUGUAUGCUUCAUGUAUGAAAUAUACAUGUUAAUAAAUUUGUUUUUCUCUUGUUAAUUUAUCUUUUGGUACAGGGGUCCAUUCCAGCUAAGAACCUAUGAAUGUUGAAAAAAUCAUUUUUAUUUUUCUUACACCUGACAUAACUGCUCUUCCUCCUCUAUUAUCUUAAUGAGAGGCAUUAUCUUUUGCCUGGCUAAAAUAUCACUUCGUGAGGGAAGACUUAUCUGAUUGCCUGUACUAGUUUAGGUCUCCCUGCCAUGUGCUUCUUUAAUUCCUCCCCAGUAAUGGCACUUACGAUAUUUUAUUACAUUUGUUGGGUAUUACAGGUGUAAGCCAUCACACCCGGCCAUUGGUUUAAUUAUCUAUAUCCCCCAUACAAUGUAAGAUUCAUUAGGGCAGGAACUGUUUCUAUUUUUCUUGCAGUUAUAAUCCCAACAACUAGAUAGGAAGCUGACAUAUAGUAGGUGCUCAAUUUAUUAUUUGUUUAAUGAAUGAAUAACAUAUGUUAGAAUUGUAAAUAAAUUCAGGGGAUAGCUUGGGGCACUCCAAUAUGAAUAAAUUACAUGAUAAGCUUUAUUUUAGGUGACUGAAGAGAAGGUGGGGAAAAGGCAUUACCUCUUCCUGCAUAUUGUUAGACAUUUCUUCAGCACUCUUCCUUUUAUACCCAUUCAGGAAAAACAAAAGUUCCAGACCUGAAGUCAAAUGAUUGAUUUCCUGAUUUAAACCAUCAUUCCACACCACAAUAGUUAAGCAUUAAAUAGAUAGC
rnacentral:lncRNA from 1 species